rnacentral:rRNA from 1 species
AGAGUUUGAUCCUGGCUCAGGACGAACGCUGGCGGCGUGCUUAACACAUGCAAGUCGUGGGCACCAGCAAUGGUGACCGGCGAACGGGUGCGUAACACGUGAGCGACCUACCGAUUCGUGGGGGAUAGCCGGCCCAACGGCCGGGUAAUACCGCAUACGCCAAGUGGACCGCAUGGUCUGUUUGGGAAACCUCCGGGGCGAAUCGAGGGGCUCGCGGCCUAUCAGCUAGUUGGCGGGGUAAUGGCCCACCAAGGCGAAGAUCGGUAUCCGGCCUGAGAGGGCGCACGGACACACUGGAACUGAAACACGGUCCAGACUCCUACGGGAGGCAGCAGUGGGGAAUUUUGCGCAAUGGGGGAAACCCUGACGCAGCAACGCCGCGUGGAGGAUGAAGCCCCUUGGGGUGUAAACUCCUUUCGACCGGGAAAAUAAUGAUGGUACCGGUGGAAGAAGCACCGGCUAACUCUGUGCCAGCAGCCGCGGUAAU